AAACCAACCGGGAUUGCCUUAGUAACGGCGAGUGAAGCGGCAAAAGCUCAAAUUUGAAAUCUGGUACCUUCGGUGCCCGAGUUGUAAUUUGGAGAGGGCAACUUUGGGGCCGUUCCUUGUMUAUGUUCCUUGGAACAGGACGUCAUAGAGGGUGAGAAUCCCGUGUGGCGAGGAGUGCGGUUCUUUGUAAAGUGCCUUCGAAGAGUCGAGUUGUUUGGGAAUGCAGCUCUAAGUGGGUGGUAAAUUCCAUCUAAAGCUAAAUAUUGGCGAGAGACCGAUAGCGAACAAGUACAGUGAUGGAAAGAUGAAAAGAACUUUGAAAAGAGAGUGAAAAAGUACGUGAAAUUGUUGAAAGGGAAGGGCAUUUGAYCAGACAUGGUGUUUUGUGCCCUCUGCUCCUUGUGGGUAGGGGAAUCUCGCAUUUCACUGGGCCAGCAUCAGKUUUGGUGGCAGGAUAAAUCCAUAGGAAUGUAGCUUGCCUCGGUAAGUAUUAUAGCCUGUGGGAAUACUGCCAGCUGGGACUGAGGACUGCGAC
rnacentral:rRNA from 1 species